UUUUAUUGAGAUGUCUACCAGGUGGAUUUCAGUUCUUCUGCUGCUGCUGCUACAGUUCAGCUGCCACUUCAGUGCUGUGGGAUGUGGAAAAGUAUUGGUGUGGCCGAUGGAUUUCAGUCACUGGAUCAAUAUGAAGACCAUCCUGGAUGAACUCGUGCAGAGGGGACAUGAGGUGACUGUUCUCAAAUCUUCAGCUUCUGUUCUGCUUGAUCAGAACAAUUCUUCAGCUAUUAAGUUUGAAACUUUUCCUGUAUCAAUAUCCAAAGAUGAGUAUGAGAUGAUUUUCACAGAAGACCUAAUGAAAUAUGUUUAUGAACUGGCUAAAUAUUCAGUUUGGAAAUAUUUUUCAGAACUUCAAAAACUGGCAUAUAUUGAAUCUGAUUUUUCUGAAAACAUAUGUAGAGAUGCAGUUUUGAAUAAGGAACUUAUGACAAAGCUGAAAGAGUCGAGGUUUGAUGUUAUUUUUGCAGAUGCCCUGUGUCCCUGUGGUGAGCUGCUGGCUGAGCUACUGAAAGUCCCCUUUCUGUACACACACCGCCUCUUUCCAGGCUACACGUAUGAAAAGUACAGUGGAGGACUUUUGCUUCCCCCUUCCUAUGUGCCUAAUACCUUGUCAGAAUUAACUGAUAAAAUGACAUUCAUGCAGAGAGUAAAAAAUAUGUUGUACGUGCUUUAUUUUGACUUUUGGUUCCAAACUUUCAAUGAGAAGAAAUGGGAUCAAUUUUACAGUGAAGUGCUUGGCAGACCCACUAAACUGACUGAGUUAAUGGGGAAAGCUGAAAUAUGGCUUAUCAGGACCUACUGGGAUGUGGAAUUUCCUCGCCCACUCUUACCAAAUGUUGAUUUUGUUGGAGGGCUCCACUGCAGACCUGCCAAACCCCUGCCUAAGGACAUGGAAGACUUUGUGCAGAGCUCUGGAGAGGAGGGAGUUGUGGUGUUUUCUCUGGGCUCAAUGAUCAGUAACAUGACAGAAGAGAGGGCCAAUGUGAUCGCAUCAGCCCUUGCCCAGCUUCCCCAAAAGGUUCUAUGGAGAUACAGUGGCAAGAAACCACGCACCUUAGGACCCAACACUCAGCUUCAUACUUGGGUUCCUCAGAAUGACCUUCUCGGUCACCCCAAAACCAGAGCUUUCAUCACUCAUGGUGGAACCAACGGCAUCUACGAGGCGAUUCACCAUGGUGUGCCCUUAGUAGGCAUUCCUCUGUUUGCGGAUCAGUUUGAUAACAUUGCUCAUGUGAAGGCCAAGGGAGCUGCUGUUAAAGUGGACUUUAUCACAAUGUCAAGUGCAGAUUUGCUCAGUGCAGUGAAGACAGUCAUUAAUGAUCCUUCGUAUAAAGAGAAUGCGAUGACAUUAUCAAGAAUUCACCACGAUCACCCCAUGAAGCCCCUGGACCGAGCAGCCUUCUGGAUUGAGCAUGUCAUGCGCCACAAGGGAGCCAAACACCUGCGGGUUGCAGCUCACGACCUCACCUGGUACCAGUACCACUCUCUGGAUGUGAUUGGGUUCCUGCUGGCCUGUGUGGCCACUGCUGCACUCAUCAUCAUCAAAUGUUGUCUCUUUUGUUACCGGAUGUUUGUUAAAAGUGUUAAGAGGAAAAGGGAGUAGAUCAAGUAUGCUAACUUGAAGGAGGAACACCUGAUAGAUGAGCUGUCCCCGGCUUAAUUCAGCAAGCUGAGGCUAUAACGUAGGUCAGUUUGGUUGCCAGAAGGCCUCAAGUGUGGGAGUAGGAAAACCAAAGACUAAGACUCACUUAUCUAGUAUGGUGGUUGUUGACACCUUUGUUGUAAUCUGCAAGUAAAGAAAAGACCCUAAUAACUUUAUAGAGAUGAAUUGGACUC